rnacentral:rRNA from 1 species
UACGGAGGGUGCGAGCGUUGUCCGGAAUCACUGGGCGUAAAGGGCGCGUAGGUGGCGCGGGCAGUCAACGGUGAAAGUUCGGGGCUCAACCCUGAAUCGGCCGUCGAUACUCCCGGGCUUGAGCACUGUAGAGGCAGAUGGAAUUCCGGGUGUAGCGGUGGAAUGCGUAGAGAUCCGGAAGAACACCGGUGGCGAAGGCGGUCUGCUGGGCCAAGACUGACGCUGAGGCGCGACAGCGUGGGGAGCAAACAGG